CUCCACGCUGUGUCAAGCACAUGUAGACAUGAGGAGAUAAUAAGGCUCUUCCCCCAUGGAACUCACACUUCAGCUGGGAAAACAGAGAGGUAAGCAAGUCAUGCCAAGGAGAUGUUCAGAGAUGUGCUACAUGACUUAGAACAAUUCUUAGGGAAGCCUCACAAAGUUGGUGACAUUUGACCUUAGACCUCAAAGGAUGGAUCCUCAGGUAGGAAGAGCUCAGUAAGCAAAGGUCUCAAGUGUGAGAAAAGUCGCAGAGGGACAACAGUACAUGUGGAUGCAGGGAACCAGGAGGACUGAAGGGUGGGGGCGCAGUGAAUGUAGAAGCUAGAAGGUCAGGACCACGCUAUGGCUUUCAUGAGCCCUAGGCACUUGUGCCUUCAUUAAAAAAGUGGUAAAGAGUAUGUUUUACAACUGCAUUGAUAUAACAACGAAUAUAAUCCAGGAUGAUAGUAUUCUGAUUUUAAAAGAAACUGAAACAUUUUUGUGGGCCUAAAAAGUAUUGUGGGAGCUUCCCUGGUGGUGCAGUGGUUGAGAGUCCGCCUACCGAUGCAAGGGACACGGGUUCGUGCCCCAGUCUGGGAAGAUCCCAUAUGCCGCGGAGCGGCUGGGCCCGUGAGCCAUGGCCACUGAGCCUGUGCGUCUGGAGCCUGUGCUCCGCAACGGGAGAGGCCACGACAGUGAUAGGUCUGUGUACAGCAAAAAAAAAAAAAAAGUAUUGUGGGCCUCAGGCACUGUACCUGCUGUGCUUACUGGGUUAGUCGGCCCUGUAGAACAGUGGCUUGGGGCCCAACUGAAAAGGCUUUGAAUGCCAUGCUAAUAAGUCCAGUAAAUCCUAGGGAGCCUUAGUCCUCAACUCCAAUCUUAGCCCUACUCUUGGUUGCAUUCAACAUCCAAACAUUUACCAGGCACUGUUUGUUUGCUAUUUAUCCUAAUAUCGCUCAUACUCUCUAUAGCGUCACUCAAGAGCUCUCCAGCCCGAUCUCACGACGCAUGCCCAACUGAGGAGCCCUGCUGUGGUGCUCAGUUUCCUCACCCCGACCACACAGCAGCAGAGCAUCUCGCAAGGGUGGUCAGCUAAGGGUAACCCACGGGGACUGAGAGAUGCAGCAGGUUUGGGGGUGAAGGGAGGACUAGGGAAGAGAGGUGCUCAAGGAGAGGGAGAGGGCACGAACAGGGAGGUGGGAGGACUCAAGAAACCAGCUUCUUGGCCUCCCCUUAGCCGAGGAUGGCCUUGCCCUAACCCCACAUCUGCACUAUUAAAAUCCACCCCUCUGACCAUUCUCAGGCUAACCUAAAACCUUAAGUCCUGCUUAAAAUCUUUUUUAUUUAUUUAUUUAUUUUUGGUCGCGUCGGGUCUUCGUUGCUGCACGCGGACUUUCUCUAGUUGCGGCGAGCGGGGGCUACUCUUCGUUGCGGUGCGCGGGCUUCUCGUUGCAGUGGCUUCUCGUUGCAGAGCAUGGGCUCUAGGCGUGCAGGCUUCAGGAGUUGUGGUUCACGGGCUCAGUAGUUGUGACUCACAGGCUUAGUUGCUCGGCAGCAUGUGGGAUCUUCCCAGACCAGGGCUCGAACCCGUGUCCCCUGCAUUGGCAGGUGGAUUUUUAACCACUGCGCCACCAGGGACGCCCAAGUCUUGUUUAAAAUCUUGAUGCUAACUAGGCCUGUGUUACUAUCUCCUGGCUCCAGGAACCUCUCUCCCCUUAGCCCUGCGUGGCUCAUCUCCUCUGGGGAUCUAUUUCCCACUUGAAGAGUAUUGGCGCCAUUGCCCAAAAUGGAUAAAUGUCCCAGAAUAUAUUCUUAUUUUUAAUUACAAAAAUAAGGGACUUCCCUGGCAGUCCAGCGGUUAAGACUCCUCACCUCCAAUGCAGGGGACACGGGUUCGAUCCCUGGUCGGGGAGCUGAGAUCCUGCAAGCCAUGUGAUAUGGCCGAAAAAUUACGAAAAAAGAAAAAGUGAAAUUGAUCCUCACGACACUGCCAUACCUAUUGAUUCAUUCUCUAGAAGUAGUAACUUCUAGAAAAGUAAUAAUUUCCAGGUAUAAACCUUCUCUACCCUUUUUCUAUGAAUAUACAUAAUAUAUAAAGACACACACACAGAGUACCAUAUUGUUUGAAACUUGAUGUCUUCAUUUAAUAUACCAAGGACAUCUUUUCAUGUCAGGUCAUUUAAGUCUAACUCAUUCUUUUUAAAAGCUGGAUAGUAUUGGGAUUCCUUGGUGGUGAAGCCCUGGUGGUUCGAUCCCUGGUCCGGGAAGAUUCCACAUGCCGUGCAGCAACAAAGCCUGUGCGCCACAACUACUGAGCCUGUGCUCUAGAGCCCACGAGCCACAACUACUGAAGGCCGUGCUCCUAGAGCACAUGCUCCACAACAAGAGAAGCCACCGCAAUGAGAAGCCCGUGUACUGCAACGAAGAGUAGACCCCGCUCACCGCAACCAGAGAAAGCCCGCACGCAGCAACGAAGACCCAAUGCAGCCAAAAUUAAAACCAAAUAAAUAAAUAAAUUUAUUUUUUUUAAAAGCUGGGUAGUAUUCCUUAAUAUGAUUAAACCCAAUUUCUCUAACCUUCCCCUAUUGAUGAAUACUUGAGUUUUUCCCAAUUUUGCGACAAACUUUAUGACAAACUACACAAAGUUUGGUGACAGACUACACUAGAACCCACAUCGUUGUACAUUUAUUUUUGUGCCCGUGUUUAUUUCAAAAGGAUACAUUCCUCUUGGAAAAUACGCAGUGCCUCAGAAUGAAAGCCAAAGCCCUCCUCUACACCUCACCCUAAGAGGAGGAAAAGAGUCUGACCAGCGUGGGAGAUGAGGCUGGGUGUGUAGAUUACUCAAUGGCUUGGGAGCAUUGAGUGCAAUCCUAAACAGUUUGGUUUUUAAGCAAAUACAGAUAAGGCUUCGCCAAGGGUGCAGCGAUGGAUGUGAUAUUGACCCUGCGCUCAAGGGCUCACUUUGGAGUCUGUGAUGUGGAGGGGUAACCUUUAAGAGGCCCUUGAGCCUCCCCUUGGACUCCUGAUCCUGGGGGCUAGAGCUGUCUCCCUAUUCUCCAGAGGAGGCCACGGGGUGUGGGGGUGGGGGAGCGGGUGGAGAAUGACAAAGGAGGCCCGGAUUCCCCAGCCAGCUCAACUCUUCCCCCACCCCCCCACCCCCGGGGUCUCCUUUGGGUUAGAAUGUUGGGGGUGGGGCUGGAGAGGGAGCCCUUAGUGCAAUUCCCACCCAUCACCCCCCACACCCCCCCCCCCAGCUCAAGGACCUGAAAAGGUGACCGUCUGUACGGAACUCCUUCCUCAGCCUUUUCCAGGCCUCUCCCACACCUGCAGGCUUGAAACUUGAAUUCUGGAGUGUCUAGGCAACAAAAGCCCCCAGGUGAACUGGCAUACUUUCCUGCCUGCCUCCCCCUGGGCUUACGGCUUCUCUCAGCCUAAGUCCACCCACAGUCCUUGCUCUGGGACCUCCCAACCCAAAGUUCUCUGCCCACCGCAAGGUCCGCGGCACCUCCCUCCAUCCCCCUCUCCUGACUCCGAUGGCCAGAGCCUCUCAUCUCCUGCAGGACACUCCUGCCCUGCUCUCCACCCUCAUAGCACGCAGACUAGCUCCCUAUCCUGAGGGCUUCCUCUUCUCACCGACACUCUCCUUCCCUGGGAGCUCUCUUUUAUCUGCUCUCCAGAUGAGUCUCCCCAAACCUGUUUCCUAGUGAAGCAAGAGGGAAGGGGGCAGAGCACAACCUUUGAAAGAAUGACAUAGCCCAGAGGACACGACAUAAACUUAUUAGAACCAAAUGGGUCCAAGAUGGCAGACAAGUCGACUUCCACUAGACCUCGAGCCUCAGGAUACGUUCGUUGUAACACAUCAAGCUAAAUGACACACCCACAGGUGCCAUGACAGUUCCAAGACCAACCAUAAGGAUCAAAAAGUGGGCGGUGGCCCAAUUCCUGGAAAUCCCCGCCCCUUCCUAAAAUCGUUGGAAUACUCCUCCUACUCAUUAGCCUAUGAAAUUACCCACUCCUAUAAAAACUGACAACCCCAUACUCUGGGGCCUUUCUCGCCUUCUGAGAAGGCCCAUGCUCUGUCUGUGGAGAGUGUUUCUCUCUAAAUAAAUCCACUUCUUACCUAUCACUUUAUCUCUCACUGAAUCCUUUCUGCAAUAAGACAUCGAGAACCUGAGCUUCAUUAAGUCCUGAAACCAGGUGUGUGAUUUCAGUUGGCAGACUGUGGGUUUUGGCCGGGUUCGAGGCCCAGCCGCAUGGGUUCAAGUCCCAACCCGUGGUGCACGGUUUCUUCCAUCAGAAUUCUCUCCACUGCAGCUACGCUGCUUUUGUCUCCUUGCACCUACACCACUGUCUGCGUCCUGGGGGCGCGUGCCGUUUCCCUCUUUGCUGUCUCCUCUUUCUUCUUGCUCUCCUUGCACACUUCUCUCCUCCAGCCCCCCAUGCCUCCAAACCCUGGUGCACAGGGUAGGUCUCUGCACUGACAGUGCCCCCGAGGGCAGUGAGACGGUGGCAGGCUACCAGCAAGCGGAGCAUCCCAAGGGAAAUGCCAGUCCUGGCUCUCCAUCUAAUUUCUUUUUUUAUAUAUAUUUUUUUAACAUCUUUAUUGGAGUAUAAUUGCUUUACAAUGGUGUGUUAGUUUCUGCUGUAUAACAAAGUGAAUCAGUUAUACAUAUACAUAUGUUCCCAUAUCUCUUCCCUCUUGCGUCUCCCUCCCUCCCUCCCUCCCUCCGUCCCUAUCCCACCCCUCCAGGCGGUCACAAAGCACCGAGCUGAUCUCGCUGUGCUGUUCCAUCUUAUUGCUGAAAAAGACUUAGUUGGAUGCUUUUCAGCUGAAAGAGAUGAUUAAUUCAGCCCUGACCUUGUUCUGUCUUUGUUCAUAGACAAAUUCUUUUACUUAAAAAGAAACCUUUUCAUUUGUGUUUCCAUUAUCACCUGUGAUUUCCCCUGCCUUCCAAAUGGCCCUGCCAGUUGACAGGAAGGUCAGCAAAGCUGCUGAUAAGCGGAGAUUAAAGAGGGCUUGUGGCAAGGGGGCAGUGGUCUACUUGCUGGCAACAUGCUGCGCUUGCUGGUGUUCACCACGCUGGUCCUUCAUGGACAUAGUGCCCAGGACUUUCCAGAAACCAACUCCCGGGUAGUUGGAGGGACUGAGGCCCGGAGGCAUUCUUGGCCCUCUCAGCAAACAUCACCAAAUGACGGAACACUCUUUUCUGCUGGUCCCAAGGGCAUCUACACGCCCCUUCUCACCACUACUCCAGGUAGCCUCAACAGCAAAAGGUCAAAUGAAAACAAUUCGCCAUCUCUAGCCCAGAAAGUUGGAGAAUGUUUUGAGAUUUCCCUCCAGUACCAGUCUGGAGGUUCCUGGUUUCACAUCUGUGGAGGGACCCUCAUCAGACGGAACUGGGUGAUGACAGCUGCUCACUGUGUGGACAAACAAAUGAGCUUCCGUGUGGUGGUUGGAGACCACAACCUGAGCCAGAACGAUGGCACCGAGCAGUACGUGAGAGUGCAGAGGAUCAAGGUGCAUCCCCACUGGAACAGCAAUAAUGUGGCUGCAGGCUAUGACAUCGCCCUGCUGCGCCUGGCCCAGAACGUUACCCUCAACAGCUAUGUCCAGCUGGGUGUUCUGCCAAAGGAGGGAACCAUCCUGACUAACAACAGCCCCUGCUACAUCACAGGUUGGGGCAGGACCAUGACCAAUGGGCAGCUGGCCCAGACCCUGCAGCAGGCUUACCUGCCCACCGUGGACUACGCCACCUGCUCCAGCUCCUCUUACUGGGGCUCCACCGUGAAGAAUACCAUGGUGUGCGCUGGAGGAGACGGAGUUCACUCUGGAUGCCAGGGUGAUUCUGGGGGUCCCCUUCAUUGCUUGGUGAAUGGCCAGUACACUGUCCACGGUGUGACCAGCUUCGUGUCCAGCCUGGGCUGUAAUGUCUCCAGGAAGCCCACAGUCUUCACUCGGGUCUCUGCUUACAUCUCUUGGAUAAAUAACUGUACUUUCGCUCGAUAACGUUGCCGUCCUGAGUUCCACUUCACAUACCCACUAAGAAUGCUUCACUGUACUGUUUACUGCUUAGGGUCACUGCCAACAACUGAACAUUUUCUUGGGUCCAACGGCCUUCCCAAGAUGAUUCUUAGAUCCACAGCAGGACUUGAGGCCAUCCAGGAAAAACCAUUCUAACAGACUACUGAGCCAGAUGCAGAAAUGCAAAUAAAAUUGAAUAUAUAUAUUA